CAGUCGCCACGGUAAUACGUAGGGUGCAAGCGUUAUCCGGAAUUAUUGGGCGUAAAGAGCUCGUAGGCGGUUUGUCGCGUCUGCUGUGAAAACUGGAGGCUCAACCUCCAGCCUGCAGUGGGUACGGGCAGACUAGAGUGCGGUAGGGGAGAUUGGAAUUCCUGGUGUAGCGGUGGAAUGCGCAGAUAUCAGGAGGAACACCGAUGGCGAAGGCAGAUCUCUGGGCCGUAACUGACGCUGAGGAGCGAAAGCGUGGGGAGCGAACAGGAUUAGAUACCCGCGUAGUCCCUGUCUCUUAUAC
rnacentral:rRNA from 1 species